rnacentral:rRNA from 1 species
AGUGAACGCUGGCGGUAGGCCUAACACAUGCAAGUCGAACGGCAGCACAGUAAGAGCUUGCUCUUACGGGUGGCGAGUGGCGGACGGGUGAGGAAUACAUCGGAAUCUACUUUUUCGUGGGGGAUAACGUAGGGAAACUUACGCUAAUACCGCAUACGACCUACGGGUGAAAGCAGGGGAUCUUCGGACCUUGCGCGAUUGAAUGAGCCGAUGUCGGAUUAGCUAGUUGGCGGGGUAAAGGCCCACCAAGGCGACGAUCCGUAGCUGGUCUGAGAGGAUGAUCAGCCACACUGGAACUGAGACACGGCCCAGACUCCUACGGGAGGCAGCAGUGGGGAACAUUGGACAAUGGGCGCAAGCCUGAUCCAGCCAUACCGCGUGGGUGAAGAAGGCCUUCGGGUUGUAAAGCCCUUUUGUUGGGAAAGAAAAGCAGCAGGUUAAUACCCCGCUGUUCUGACGGUACCCAAAGAAUAAGCACCGGCUAACUUCGUG